rnacentral:snRNA from 1 species
UUACUUGCUUCGACAGUAAAUAGGUAUACUAAAAUUGGAACGAUACAGAGAAGAUUAGCAUAAUCCCUGCACAAAAUGCGUCAUGGAUUCUUCCCAAAAGACCCGUGAAUGCCUUUUU